CCUACGGGGGGCUGCAGUCGAGAAUCAUUCACAAUGGGGGAAACCCUGAUGGGGCGACGCCGCGUGGGGGAAUGAAGGUCUCCGGAUUGUAAACCCCUGUCAUGUGGGAGCAAAUUAAAAAGAUAGUACCACAAGAGGAAGAGACGGCUCACUCUGUGCCAGCAGCCGCGGUAAUACAGAGGGCUCAAGCGUUGUUCGGAAUCACUGGGCGUAAAGCGGGCGUAGGCGGUUUCGUAAGUCGAGUGUGAAAGGCGCGGGCUCAACCCGCGGACUGCACGUGAUACUGCGAGCCUAGAGUAAUGGAGAGGGAACUGGAAUUCUCGGUGUAGCAGUGAAAUGCGUAGAUAUCGGGAGGAACACUCGUGGCGAAGGCGGCUUCCUGGACAUUAACUGACGCUGAGGCACGAAGGCCAGGGGAGCGAAAGGGAUUAGAUACCCCGGUAGUC
rnacentral:rRNA from 1 species